UGGUCAACACUGGGAUAAGUUCUUCCGGGUCUGCCGUCUGUUGUGUGUUUGCGGUUCCCAGGGCUGGGCCUUGUGAGCAUUUGGCUCACCUCUUCCCUCUGGCCAUCUCGUUCCCCCGGGAUGCGGACUCCAGUCAGUAGGCGAAGCUUGAUCCUGGACUAGACUCUACGCUGCCCAACAGCUGCUGUUACCGCAUGGUGCCGCACAGUUCCAGGCUCUUGGUGUCCCGAACAAAGAUUUGGACCAGACACACAGAGAUGGCAAAGCUGCAAGUUUAUUAAGCACAGUAUUCCACUCUCGGAGUGGGGAGAGCGGACUGACCUCUGCGAGAUAAGAUCAGCCCCAGCUUGGUAUAGUUUGGGUCUUUUUUUUUUUUUUUUUUUCUGAGACGUAGUCUCGCUCUGUUGCCCAGGCCGGAGUGCAAUGGCGCCGUCCCGGCUCACCGCAACCUCCGCCUUCCGGGUUCAAGCCAUUCUCCUGCCUCAGCCUCCCGAGUAAGUAGCUGGGAUUACAGGCGCCCGCCACCACGCCCGGCUAAUUUUUGUACUUUUAGUAGAGAUGGGGUUUCACCAUGUUGGCCAGGCUUUUUUUCUCUUCCCAAGGCUGCCUAAUAUCUAGCCAGUGUCUACCUUUUUGAAUGAUAAGUGUGUUGCUUACCUUUGGCCCCUGUGUGCUUCAGAGCCGCCUCCAUUCCAUAAUUUUAAGUACAUGCAUGAUAUGCCGUCCAUAUGCAUGAGCGCUAAUGAGCUGGUUAUCCUUAUCAUGUUAAGGAUACUUUUUGUCUUUAAUGCGCGUGCUUAUGCCUAAAGAACUGCUCCUUACUGGUUUGGUCCUGAUUUCCCCGGCCAUGGGAUUUUUACUGUUUUUUUUUUUAAAAUUUUAUUUAUUUAUUUAUUUAUUUAUUUAUUUAUUUAGAGACGGAGUCUCGCUCUGUCGCCCAGGCUGGAGUGCAGUGGCGCGAUCCCGGCUCACUGCAAGCUCCGCCUCCCGGGUUCACGCCAUUGUCCUGCCUCAGCCGCCUCCCGAGUAACAGUAACAGGGACUACAGGCGCCCCCUACCACGCCCGGCUAAUUUUUUUGUAUUUUUAGUAGAGACGGGGUUUCACUGUGUUAGCCAGGAUGGUCUCGAUCUCCUGACCUCGUGAUCCGCCUGCCUCAGCCUCCCUAAGUGUUGGGUGUGAGCCACCGCGCCUGGCCUUUACUCAGUUUUUAGUCUUCCUUUUGUUUUGUCUCCUCAGCUUCUGCCAUUUAUCUUGCUUCUUGCUGGGUGAGCAAGAAGGGGCGGAUGCCCCUUCACCUUGCUUCUGCUCUCUGCUUUUUUUAUUUUUAAUUGAGACGGGGUUUCUUCAUGUUGGUCAGGCUGGUCUCGAUCUCCCAACCUCAGGUGAUCCACCUGCCUCGGCCUCCCAAAGUGCUGGGAUUACAGGUGUAAGCCACCAUGCCCAGCUUCUCUUCUGUUUUUCUAUGCUAAGGUCUCAUAAUGUUUAACCCGUGUACUUUGCUUAAAAAUUCCAGAAACUGGCCUUGAAAAAUCUAAAUAUAGGCCGGGUGUGGUGGCUCAUACCUGUAAUCCUGGCACUUUGGGAGGCCAAGGCAGGCGGAUUGCAUGAGUUCAGGAAUUGGAGACCAGCCUGGGCAACACGGUGAAACCCCGUCUCUACUAAAAUAUAAAAAAUUAGCUGGGUGUGGUGGCCUGCGCCUGUAGUCUCAGCUACUUGGGAGGCUGAGGCAGGAGAAUUCUUCUCUUGAACCCAGGGGGCAGAGGCUGCAGUGAGCCGAGGUCACACCACUACACUCCAUGCUGGGAGACACAGUGAGACUCCGUCUCCAAAAGAAACCAAACAAAAAAAAGAAAAUCUAAAUAUAAAACCAAGGUUGUGGAACGUCCCAUCCCAGGGAAAGAAUCCACAAUCCUGUUUUGGUCAAGCUGACACCUGCCAGACCAGCAGGUGGCCCAUUACUCAAAAUAGUAAUGGAAACCAGACAUGCUGACUUGUGCAUCUGAACUCCAUGUCCUGACCCCUAGCUGCAGCUGUGCCUCGGUAGAACACCCCUUUUCUUUCCUGUCUCGAUGAUUGUUGGAGCACUCUGUAAGUUUCCCUAAUAAAUGCUUUGGACUGAU